AUCUCCUGGUAAUCUUGUUAAAAUGCAGAUUCUGAUUCAGUAAGUGUUGAGUGGGGCCCAAGAUUCUGAAUUUCUAACAAGCUUCCAUGUGAUGCCAG
rnacentral:pre_miRNA from 1 species